rnacentral:rRNA from 2 species
GGACUACAAGGGUUUCUAAUCCUGUUUGCUCCCCACGCUUUCGCACAUGAACGUCAGUACUGGUCCAGGAAGCCGCUUUCGCCACUGGUGUUCCUUCCGAUAUCUACGCAUUUCACCGCUACACCGGAAAUUCCGCUUCCCUCUACCGUACUCUAGCCAUGCAGUCUCGAACGCAGUUCCCAGGUUGAGCCCAGGGAUUUCACAUCCGACUUACAAAACCGUCUACGCGCGCUUUACGCCCAGUAAUUCCGAUUAACGCUCGCACCCUCUGUAUUACCGCGGCGGCUGGCAC